AACGUAGGACGCAAGCGUUAUCCGGAGUUACUGGGCGUAAAGCGCGGGCAGGCGGCGCCGCACAGGGGACGUGAAAGCGCCCGGCUCAACCGGGCGAGGCCGUUCCCGAUGGCGGUGCUGGAGGGCAGGAGAGGGACGUGGAAUUCCGGGUGGAGUGGUGAAAUGCGUAGAGAUCCGGAGGAACACCAGAGGCGAAGGCGGCGUCCUGGUCUGCACCUGACGCUGAACCGCGACAGCCAGGGGAGCGAACGGG
rnacentral:rRNA from 1 species